rnacentral:rRNA from 1 species
UAUAAAUUGAGAGUUUGAUCCUGGCUCAGGACGAACGCUGGCGGCGUGCCUAAUACAUGCAAGUCGAACGAAGCUUUUGAUCAAUAAAUGCUUGCAUUUAGCGAUUAAAAGACUGAGUGGCGAACGGGUGAGUAACACGUAGGCAACCUGCCCAAAAGAGGGGGAUAACACUUGGAAAC